rnacentral:lncRNA from 1 species
UUAACCACUAAAGUGCACCUGACACUACUCUUGACAAAUUGCAGUUGGGAGGUGAUUGAGAAGACUGAUGAAGAAAUCAGAUCCUUGUUCUAUGAGUUUCCCCAGACACAAGCAGAAGAUACUGGAUAGGAGAUAGUGCUAACAUGUACCUCCUACUUGGAUGGACAGUAUGGCAUGUGAAGAUUCAUACUGUGGACUUUUGCUCCAAGAACCACUGCAGGACCAUACCAGGAAAACCUAAAGAAUUCACAGAUCUUUGAAAGAAGCACAAGUCACUGCAGAUUGCAUGAGACAGAUGAACAACUAUGAGUUUCCAUAGUCUGAAAGGGGGAAAACCUGCCUUCAAACACGUAUUCCCGCUGAGGAAUCUGAAAAUACAGAUCACCAGAGAAGGAUUUAACCUUAUCUAGAGCUGGAAUGGAUUUAGGGAGCUGUGCAAAAUAUAAAAGUAAAUGCAACAGUGGGAAGAGCCUUGUAGGCACUCCCAUUCUUCACCUUGUGCGCAGGGAAGCCAUUUCUGAUUGUAUUUCACAGAAGCCCUCAGGGAAGGCACUCAGCAGAAUUAGGGAAGGGUCACAGGGUGUAAGAAGUUUCCAACUGAAUUUUGCAAUAAUUUUAACUGGGCACUAACUUUUUUGACAGGAUAUGGGGGUGAAUGGGAACUGCUGCAAAUACAAGAGCUGGAGUCACAGCCAACUUUGUUGGCAGAUGGGGAGGGGCAAGGCCUGAAAGCAGUGCUUGCUUGCUAAGUGGGGUAGUUUAUGGCCUGAGGCAACGUCUGAGUUUCAGGAGAGCAAGCUGCCUGGAUCUAAACUUGGCACUGUUAGUAGUGUGUCCAGAAUUGGUGGGUUCUUUGUCUCACUGAUUUCAAGA